CGAACUUCUUCAAUUUGCAUUUUUCUUUACAAACAAUUGCAGCAUCUACAAACGACCACGCUGCCUUUUACCUUCCUAUAAAAACCAUUUCUUUGCAUUGUUCCCCACAUAUCGACACAAAAUCAAUCAAUUAUUGAUCGACAAACAAAGACAGCCAAGUAGCCAACAUUAAAGAAGAUAUAUGUAUACACAAUCAGAACCACAUCUCCAACAUCACUCAUUGAGGUUCGAGUAACCAAGGGCAGUAAAGCUUCAAGUGAACCAAGUAUCGAAUCUCCACUUUGAGGUUGAUCGGAUGGUGCAGAUGGGGUUGAGCUGAGGCUAGGGUUCCACGCUGGCUUUUGCUUCCGCUAAUGACUAGCUUGUUAUCUUGUCUUUCAAUUCCCUAAACUAAGAACUUCUAUUAUAUGAUGCAAUAUUAUCUUGUUGAGCUAAAACUUUUUAACUCAUAUUUCUAUUAAUAAAGUUAUUGUUGGUUAUGAUCAGAGUCGCGAAACUAAACUUAUGCAAUCCUGUGAGUAUAAAUAUUAUCAAUUGAUUGGCAUCACUCAAUGCCUUUCAUUUUAUCUCUUCAAAUUAUAAAUAACCCAUUUAAAAGGGUAAAUUGUCAGGUUUAUUCAGCUCUAUUAAGUUUUCCAUUAUUUUUCUAUUUUUUUUUUUUUUUUUUUUUUUUUUUUUUUUUUUUUUUUGUCUUGGGAAAACCGGGGUGUUACAUAAUGGUAUCAGAGCACAAGUUUUCUUUCGUGUCUCUGACUACCGCUAGUUGAAUUAUUUCGAGUCUAGAAUAGUACUUCUAGACUUCUAAGCAUUUCUGCAAACCUCAGCUCACCGUCUCACUGCCUGAUCAGCAAAGGUACGUUUCAAAAUUUUCAAAUAAAUGACUUUAUUUCAAGAAAGUGUGCGCAAAAGAUACCUUGUUAAAUGCUUGAAUGAUAUUACAUAUGCAGAGAGACUGUUUAUGCAAUGAAAGAAAAGUAUGAUAUUUGGACCAGCGAGUCCUUACAAGAAGCAAAGAAUGUAAUCAUGAUGGGACUCUCUGAGCCCACGUGAUCCAUUUUCAGAAGAAGGAUAUUAUGAUGAGUCUCUCUGAGCUCACAUAAGCAUGUUUGAAAGAGAAAUGAUAUGUUAUUUAUGUUUUGAUUCUAUGAAUCAUUUAUGAUUAAAGAUAUGUUAUGAUUUUUAACCCCAUGCAUGUUAAGAAUAUUUCACAUGGCAUAAAUGAUACUAUUUGUCAACUUAGGUUAUUUAUAACCUUUUUGACUUAACGGUUAUGAGUAGGUUGACUCAAUAGUCAACUAAAGCUAUGAGCUUAAGAGUAUGUUUUACCUCAUAGUUAGAGGUGGACUGUCUAAUGCUAUGAUAGGAUUUCGAUCCAUAUGAACUAGACGUUUGUCUAGAGAUCUUUAAGUUUAUGAAGACUAGAACUUUGAAGAACAUAGAAUGCUUAUAGAGAAUCUAUGAUGUUUACAGAAUAGAGAAACUUAGAUCUAGCCUAGCGCUAUUAUAUUUGAAUGUUACUGGUUCUUCUUUUUAGAUGGACAAACAAGGCAAGAAAUUCUAUAAGCAUUGCACUCCAAUGUACUUGUAAGAACAGUACGAAGAGAAGUUUCACAACUAUAUCAAGAAGCCAGAUGGUUUAUUCGAGGAAUUUUUAGGAGAAUUUACGACACUUAAAUGGAUGCACGCAAUGGAAGAGUAUUAGAUAUCGAAUCAUCGAUGGGACUCGUGUGACACCUUAAUGAUGAAAAACAGGGACAACUAACACGCACAAGAUCAGUGAUGGGCGAUUUUCUACAGCUGACCAAGAGCAUCAAGCUAAGGCCAUUGACACCGGAAGAAGGUCCUAAGAACGAAAUUGAGAAAGCUAUCACAAGAAAGUUAGGAGAGAACAACUGCCCGCCUGUGUUAUUAGAUUAGUAGUUGUAAUAGUUGUUUGGAAUAACGUUUCUCUUGAUAUAAUCACCUAACCUUUUGGUUGUAAGGUCAGAUUAUUCUACAUUUAACUCAGACCUUACCUAGACACCCCAAUCUUUAAAAUAUAUAUUAUUGUAUUGUGCCUAUGUAUUUCAAAUAAAUACUUGGAAACACGCUAUUCUAUUGAGUAUAAUGAAAGUCCUAUUUUGAGGCAUAUAAUACAUAAGUAUCUUGUUCGUGCUUUAAUGCGUGUUUCUCAAAAUUUUCUUUCCGUAACACGCCUAGUUAUUAUGAUUAGUUAACAUCUGACGAUGUUCAAUCGUAUUAACCAAAAGAACUCCUUUGAGAUGCACUAUUAUUUUGAAUACUAUGGAAGUCCUCUCUUGAGGCAUAUAUAUAAGUAAUUUAUUCAAACUUUAUGCGUGUUGUUCAAAUUUACUUUCUUGUAGCACGCAUAGUUUUAUGAUUGAUUCACAUACAAUAUUGUUAAGUCCUGUUAACCAAAUGAAUUCUGGAACUUGAAACAAAGAAACGGAACAGUCACAGAGUAUGAUCGAGCUUUUAACCAAUUGUCAAGGUACGCUCCACAUCUAGUGGACACUGACGAAAAACGAGCAGAGAGAUUCAGAAACGGAUUACGCCCCGAAAUCUCAAUUUCCCUAGCAAGUCAGGGAGGUCUCACUUAUGCACAAACACUAAGUAGGGCUCUCACCAUCGAGUCACUACUACCGAGAGAGAAAGGAAAAGCACCUGCACAGUCUGAACACACGUCAUAUCCAAAUAAUGGAAAGGGAAAACGGAAAUGGAAUGAGAAAGAUUUCGAAAAUGAGAAGAAACCGUGGACAGAAAACUGGAAUCAGAACCAGCCACAACAACAAUCUAUGAUUGGAGAAAAACCCCUAUGUUUGAAGUGUCAAAAACCCCAUGCGGGUGAAUGCAGGAAGGGGUCCAAUGUUUGUUACAACUGCGGACAAUUUGGGCACUUUGCAAUGGCAUGCCCACACCCAAGGAAGAACGGCGAAAAAACCCAGCAACAUCAGAAGCAGGGAAACUUAGCCAAUCAAUGGCCAUCAUACCAAGCUAGGGCUUAUGCCCUAAACCAGUGUCAAGAAGCUCAAGAUGAUGAGAAUCUAACAGACAAACAAAGACAGCCAAGUAGCCAACAUUAAAGAAGAUAUAUGUAUACACAAUCAGAACCACAUCUCCAACAUCACUCAUUGAGGUUCGAGUAACCAAGGGCAGUAAAGCUUCAAGUGAACCAAGUAUCGAAUCUCCACUUUGAGGUUGAUCGGAUGGUGCAGAUGGGGUUGAGCUGAGGCUAGGGUUCCACGCUGGCUUUUGCUUCCGCUAAUGACUAGCUUGUUAUCUUGUCUUUCAAUUCCCUAAACUAAGAACUUCUAUUAUAUGAUGCAAUAUUAUCUUGUUGAGCUAAAACUUUUUAACUCAUAUUUCUAUUAAUAAAGUUAUUGUUGGUUA